CAAUGGACCGGUUAUACUGCGAUUGUUGUGACUUUGAGGGGCAUUUUGGGAUUGGAUGGCAAUGGCUUUGCUGGAAAUUCACUUCUGUCCGCGUGGCUCUCUUCGAUGGCAACAUUUUGACGAUACAUGACAUGGUCGCAAUUGCCAGACAUUUGAAUGUGACGCUUAUAGUUCCUGAGUUGGAUAAAACUUCUUUCUGGGCAGAUCCAAGUGAGUUUCAAGACAUA